rnacentral:rRNA from 2 species
UGGGGAAUAUUGGACAAUGGGCGAAAGCCUGAUCCAGCCAUGCCGCGUGUGUGAAGAAGGUCUUCGGAUUGUAAAGCACUUUAAGUUGGGAGGAAGGGUUGUAGAUUAAUACUCUGCAAUUUUGACGUUACCGACAGAAUAAGCACCGGCUAACUCUGUGCCAGCAGCCGCGGUAAUACAGAGGGUGCAAGCGUUAAUCGGAAUUACUGGGCGUAAAGCGCGCGUAGGUGGUUAGUUAAGUUGGAUGUGAAAUCCCCGGGCUCAACCUGGGAACUGCAUUCAAAACUGACUGACUAGAGUAUGGUAGAGGGUGGUGGAAUUUCCUGUGUAGCGGUGAAAUGCGUAGAUAUAGGAAGGAACACCAGUGGCGAAGGCGACCACCUGGACUGAUACUGACACUGAGGUGCGAAAGCGUGGGGAGCAAACA